GGGGCCUUGAGCCCCAGUAUCAUUCAGAACCUUUCCCACAGCUCCUCCCGUCUCACCACACCUCGGGCAUCCCUCCCAUUCCCUUCUCUGUCCAUGAGCACCACCAACAUGGCUAUUGGGGAUAUGAGUUCUUUGCUGACCUCCCUUGCAGAAGAAAGCAAGUUCCUUGCAGUUAUGCAGUAGGCAGUAGGCAAAGAGGACCACAAAUAGAGAUAAAAGAAUUAGGACUUGAAAGACUGAAAUGACUCUGGUUUUUUGUUUUUUGUUUUUGUUUUGUUUUGUUUUUUUCUUUUUUAAGUUCUGUGUGUAUUUUAGCAAUCUCAUCUCACCUGACUGGGAUGUGUCUCAAGUAUAUUCCUUUUAUGGAAAAGGACUCUGAAAAACCCUAUGGUAUUCUAGGGGAGAAACUGUCUUCCAUUUCAGGUUGAAUCAGUAUUGUGACCUUCAAAUCACCCUUGUUCUUUUAACCUGUAAGCUGCCCUCUUGUGAGUGAACCAAUGGCAAUGUAUAAUGCGCAUGUUCUUUCUUUUAGAAGAGAAGCCAUCAGAUUAAGAGAUUCGGCCUGCUUCUCUGACAUCCCAAGAACUAGGAAUUGGUGUGCUUGUGACCAAGGGGUUGCAGAUCCACCUUUUUAAAGUUUUUCUUUACAGUACUCAGUGACUUGCUUUUAUGUAUGUAUGUGUAUUUUUAAUUUUCACAUUGAGUACAAGAAUUGAAUGAGUAGUGAAUUUGAAGAUUAUUUGUGGGCACAACAUAGCUAGUAUAAAUAGCAGGUUUUUAUGUGUCCUCCACCUUGAUUCAAUUCAGGGCAUACUUUUAACAGCUGUACAAAAGUUGAAAUGUGGAGAUCCUGGAAACGAAGUAGUUUGAUCAGGAUUUUUUAGGGGUUAAAGUGUUCUGUAAGUAUCCCGUGGGUUCGUCUCUAUGGUCAGUUCUUGGUUAUCUUGCGUACAUUCCCUCCACCUUUCUGAACAGUCCGUUACUUAGCACUGCAGUGAGCGUGCACGUGCUGUCGAUGUUCAGAUGUGUCACGCUUUUAGCUUUUUGGUAUAAAGUUAGACCAAUUGUAGAUCGAAACAAUUGGAUAGAAUCACUUUGCGGAUGUUUUUUGGACCUGCUAUAAUUAUUCAUUGGUUUCACCUCUUUACUCGUCAUAGAUUACUGAGAACUGACUAUAUAUAGCUCUGCGUAGAUAUUUAAACAACCCACAACUAGAUGCAUCACUACCAUUUAUUAAAUUCACUACAGUUGAGAUAAAAAGGUACUUUCUCAGUGCCCUAUUAUAAAGGGAAAAAAUGUGUAAAACUUGGUUGUAAAAGGCAAACCGCACAUACAUUAACAUCAGGAAUUAAUUGCUUUAGCCAUUUUUAGCAUUGGAGAGCAUGAAAGAUGAUAUUUAGUAGCCAUGUGAAUUCCACAUACCAUCUGUCCUUAACAUUGGACUCGUACUUUUGUAUUCCGAUUUUAAAGAUUUACACAGUGCAGCUGUUCAUCACAUGCAGUUCACACACGAGAGUCAUCCUGUGUGUAGACAGAGUGCAUGGAUUAAAUAGUUAUUACUUUAAAACUGUAAACAAAGUAAAAUGUUUACCCACCAGCCCCAAUAUUGGAUUUCCCCCAGGUAAUUCUUGACAGGGUUGUGUGACCUCUCCUCUUAAAUCCUGCCCUCUAAAAUUAUGAGUAGAAAGGUGAAAACUCAGUAGGUGUUAGGUAAUAGGAAGAAUGUUAUGACCAGCCAAUUUCAUUCAUGCCUGCUUUCUGUCUUUUGGAGCCCAAAUUUCAACAGGGGAGCAACUCUACCAUGUAAAAUGCCUUUGUGGCUAUGCUAGCCAGUUUACUUUCUGAUAGAUGUCCCAAGGACAAGUAAAACAAUCUGUAAGUUCUCCAUGCCCUGCAGCCUUCUCCCAGGUUCCUUAUAAAUCAAAUGGCAACCCACAAACAAAAGGGAACUACUGGUCUGAGUUUAGGAGACUAAAUAAAGCAAGGCUUCUUUUUGCCUCAAGCAGGUCACAUUUUCAUGGGUGAUGGACUAUCUGAAUUUCAUUUGUCAAAAGUCUUUUUAGUUUUUAGGUCUCAGGUCUGGGUCUGACCUGGCACACCCGAAUUUUUGGUCCAGUCUCUUUAUUACUUUUGAUUUCAAAGCAGGGAUUCAGGAUUCUCCUCCUUCCUCAGCAAGAAGAGUGAGCUUGAUUCCUGGUCAUAGCCAUUGCCUCCUGCAGCAGAGACCUUUCUGGGUGGAGUCCUUGCAUGUGACCUUGAAGUUCUCUAGUGCAGUGACUUCCUUUAUUGG
rnacentral:lncRNA from 1 species